GCCCGGCUAGCUCAAUCGGUAGAGCGUGAGACUCUUAGCAAUCUCACGGUUUCUGAAAUCUCAAGGUUGUGGGGUACGUUCAAUUCCAAAGAGCCUGGAUUCACAACCUCAUACUAACAAUAUUAAUAGUUCGACCCCCACGUCGGGCU